CACCUGAGGUGUCAACAGAAGCAUUUAGUGUCAUAGCCUACACAACCCAGUAACCUGUUGCACCUUCGAUUCUCCCAAAAAUAAUCAAUUACACCUGGACUGCGAAAUAAUAAAUUGAAAUGAAUGGUUAAAGUUAUCUUUUUAGAACAUUUUUAGAGUAGCCUAUUUAUUUUUAAAAAAAUGCAUUAGGCUAUUACCCACCUUUGCAAUCCCAUAUUAUAAUCUAUUUCUGGUAUUGGGUUUUAAAAUAGGCAAUUGGUUAACAAUUAUUGUUGCCUAAAUACGAAGGCAACUGUAAUGUUUUCUGUAUCUAGGAAAAAAAAGAAAAAAAAGAUCAAUUUACAUCUGUAUCGACACAUUUGGUACAUUUUUAAAUGAGAAAGUUAAAGUGUUGUUGAACAUUCAGACGUACCGUAGAUUAGAAUAGAUUGCUGUGGAAUCCGCGUGCGUCCUGACGUGCACCGGUGUCAUAGCAACGGAAAGCCUUCAGCCUGCAGGACACCUGGAGGAGGCCUCUACCUGCACACGCUGUGCCUCUGUUGACUGCUGAAGUGAGUAGCAGACCUUUUACACUUUUUUUUUAUUUUACAAUGAUAAAAACGGUUCUGACUUAAAACCGAGGGCGCUUUCGUUCACCUCUGGCCGUUUCUCCCCCAUGAACGUCUGACCCACAAAUAAUUUGAACCAAGGUAAGAAACCAUAACUUUGCUAUGGUUACACGGGCUAAUACUAAAUUAAAAUAUACAAUUAAUGUCAAUUUGAUUCGAUUUAUAGGCUACUGCUCUUGCACAGAGUAUAGGCUACAUUAAGUGAUAUGAUGUGUUUAGCUAAGUCUAGAUUAAGGUUUAUUGGGGCUAUGACUGUAGCUCUGUAUAAUAAUGAUUAUCAAAUAUUUUCUUCUUGUUUUAGGGAUGAGCCCAACAAAGAAAAGAACAGCCAGUGGUGUGAUCACCUUCCACAGACCUUUUCCUGUUAGCCUGUUGGAAUCAGAGGUGUGCAUAGCAGAUCUGAAGGAUGAUGCAGAGGGCAAAAGGAGCCUGUAUCAGCCGAGGAGCACCGUUAAUGGUGUCAAAGCAAAGCGAAGAGUUGAGGCCUCACUCCCUGAGCCACAGCAGGGCACAAGCCAACACUUUCUCUCUGACUCCUCCCUCAGACGACUGCAGGAAAAGAUGGAGGCUGAAAAGCAAAAAGCCAAUAGAAUAAUCCAACCUUUACUGGAGACUGAAAAUGGUUUGGUGAAGGAGUUGGAGAGGUUUUUCAGCAAGCGGGAUGUCACAGAGCUGAGGAGAAGGGAGCUGCUGCACAAACACUGGACAGAGCGUGUGUGGUUUCCACUCCAGUGUAGAGUUGAGGAACGUGUGUCCAGCUGUGGCCGAUGGAAGCCAAGCGACGUCAGAGCUUAUACAGUCACUACCUCCAUCACUGCAAUGCUAAGGGUUUUGUGUUUCUAGAAACUUACAAUCUGAAGGAAUACAAUCCUUUUCUUCUCAACAUCGAAAAGCCAUGCUGCUUCAAGGUCAACAGAGCUGACUUUAAGGACCUGUUCAACCCCCAUUCGCAUAAAAGGCUGAAGGAACAGAGAACAGCCGGCUCUUGUGAAGCAGGAUGCAAACGCAAACUUCCUUGUCCUCUCAGUGAUUCUGUGGCAUCUCAGGCCAACACAAGUCUACAGGCCUCAUCUAGUUAUCCAAUCUCUGCUUCAAGAAAAGCUCCAGAUGAGGCUCAAAGAAAGAAAUCCACUGGGCUGCACAACAUACCAUAUCACAUCAGGGCGUCUGCCACACCAGACGGAAGGUGCCAUCGACCAGACUGCUGGUUUUCCAGAUGUGGAAGUCAGGAACAAUCAGCCAGUUUACAGCAACCUCAGCUUACAUAUGAAUAAAAUCCCUCAUGAAUACUACUUCUUAACUACCUCACAGAUUCUAAAGGUGCUGUAUUUGAAAGUGUUGUCCUGGUGGAUUAUAAAGAACCAGGAUGGGAUGACAAAAAGAACAUUGAGCCACAACAAACAAAAAAGGAAUAUUCUAUGUGUGCAUUUUUAUUUAUGCCACAUUCAGGAGUUUAUGGCCUUACUUAACAUAAACCUCCAUAGCUCAGUUAACAAUGAGGUUAAUCUUUGACAUUAUACAGUAGUGUGCAACAUUUGAAUAGAAAAGGAUAACAAGCAUAUGUGUGUAAUGGUCCAGGUGAAAGAACAACAGUUAAAGUACAGUGAAAUAUUUCCUGUUAAUAUUUACUGUGUUUUGCAUAAAAGGUUCAGAAUAUGAAUAUUACAAAACUUUAUCGUUUGGUGAUCUAAAUGGGACAUCUUCAUGGCAUGUUUUUUAAUUGCACUUCUGUGUUUCACAUGAAAAUAUUUGCAAAUACAAAAAAAAAAUCAUGUAAGAUAAUUUGUUAGUAAACAGGAAAACGCUUUUUCCACAAUAAGGAAUGUCUCAGGACAAUUCAUUGGAAUGUAAUCCAACAGUUUUGGCAAGGUCUCCUUAUCCUGUAACUUGAAGUCAACAAGAUAAAUCUCGCCAGCUCAGGGCAGUACAAGGCUGUAAUCGUCAUGAGAUCACUUUAAGUUUUUAUGUGACUGUUUCAACUAAAUGUUUCCUCUUCAUUACUAUAAAAAGAAGUGAUGUCUGCUGA